rnacentral:lncRNA from 1 species
GCAUAUUAUUAACACAUUCGGAUAGAAAACACUCUGAAUUUUCUAAAACAGUUUGAAUGGUGUCUGUAAGUAUAACAAAACUCCUAUUGCAGGCAAAAAUCUGUGAAAAAUAGAUCCAAAAAAAUGUGAAUUUUGUGACUGUACUAUUUAGUGUCAUUGUUUUAUAGAUACCAUAGUGAGAAAGGAUUCAUUUCCCAACACCUACGGCUUCCACUAGAUGUCAACGAUCUUUAUAAAGUUGUUUGAAGCGUCUAUGAUAAACAGAGAGCAAAUUAGAAUCCAAGGAAGUUGACAUGUCAUCACUUCAUUUUUUUGCGCCUGCGCAUAAAUCUGAGAAACGUGAGUUUGUCAUCAUUUUUUAUCUAGACAUAGGAUAGGUUGUGUGAAAAUAUUACUGAUGUUUAACGUUAAAAAUGGACCAAAAGAUUAAUGCUAAACAACAUUUGACAUGUUUGAACGAACAUAAAUAGAUUAUUUACUAGGUUUUUUUAGCUUUUCGGCGUGAUUUUACCAGCCCCACACCACGUUUUGUGGGAGCAUAAUGAACGCUAAGUACUUGGUGUUAUUUGGACAUAAAUUAUGAACUUUGUCAAGAGAAACCACAUUUGUUCCGGACCUGGAAUGCCUUCCGGACCUGGGAUCCUGCCUUCUGAUGGAGAUAAUCAAAGACCUGAGCCCUAGGACCAUGCCUCAGGACUACCUGGCCUGAUGACUCCUUGCUGUCCCCAGUCCACCUGGCCGUGCUGCUGCUCCAGUUUCUGCCUGCGGCUAUGGAACCCUGACCUGUUCACCGGACGUGCUACCUGUCCCAGACCUGGAGUUUUCAACUCUCUAGAGACAGCAGGAGUAGUAGAGAUACUCUGAAUGAUCGGCUAUGAAAAGCCAACUGACAUUUACUCCUGAGGUGCUGACCUGUUGCACCCUUGACAUUUACUGUGAUUAUCACUAUUUGACCCUGCUGGUCAUCUAUGAACAUUUCAACAUCUUGGCCAUGUUCUGUUAUAAUCUCCACCCAGCACAGUCAGAAGAGGACUGGCCACCCCUCACAGCCUGGUUCCUCUCUAGGUUUCUUCCUAGGUUCUGGCCUUUCUAGGGAGUUUUUCCUAGCCACCGUGCUUCCACACCUGCAAUGCUUGCUGUUUGGGGUUUUAGGCUGGGUUUCUGUACAGGUCUUUGAUAUAUCAGCUGAUGUAAGAAGGGCUUUAUAAAUACAUUUGAUUUGAUGAAAGAAAUAAAUAAAAGCUGAAAUAAAUCAUUCUCUACUAUUAUUCUGACAUUUUGUCACGGUUGUCGUUGGUAAUGGAGGACCAAAAUGCAGCAGGUAUGUGUACGCUCAUCUUGACAUUUAUUAACUCAGAAUUAACACACCAAAACAACAAAACGAAACGAACUUACGAAACAGUC